AUCCCAGAGGGGCCUCGGCCACAGGGGCUGCAGGGAACUCCAGGCCCUGUAGGUAAAGCAGCCUUCUGGCCUGACAGGCUACCGUGCUGAGCCCCUCUGCUGCCACCCAGGCCUCAGUUCCCUCCACGCUCUACCAGUGGGCUGUGCUGGAUCUUUGUUCUACAAAACUGGCCCCAGCUGGCUGCAGAGCUGAUGGGACCUAGUCCAAACCUCCUUUUGUCUCCACAGCUUCAGCCUGUAUUUAGCAGCAGGAAGGUUUCCUUGGGUCUCUGCCGCCAACUGCCACAGUUGUGGAGUAAGGUGGAUCAUGAGACAGGCCUGGCACAGGGCAGCCAGGUUAAAGCUUCAGGCGUUGGUUCUGAGCCACGCAGAGGCCUGGGCUAAACCACCAAGGGCCUGUGGUCAGGCUGCCACCUAGUGUUGAGCCAGCUGUACAGCAGGGAGGCCUCUACAAGGCACCAACCAUGAGUAGGGAGAGGCCAGAAGCAGGGAAAACCAGACACCAGCAGAGAAGUCAGACUUCAGAGAGGACUCGGCAUCCUGAGCAAGAGAGAGAAUGUAAUUCAGGUGGUGAAGACAAACAACGAAGUAACCCGUCAGCCUGUGGCCGGAGGCCAAUAACUCAGUGCAGAGUUCUAGUUUACAAGGACGCUCCCUCUCAUUCAAUCCUUGGAAUCCUCCUUCAUCCUUCUCCAGAUGUGGUAUGUCCCUGGAAGCUUCAAAAUAUUUGCCCGUGUCCAUUGCCUAGAAACAGCAAUAAAUUGAAUGCAACUGAUGUCUCUUCAAAGAUUUGCUGUCUACCAAGACUUUCAAGCAUCGAAAAUAUCUUUAUCUUUUCCUCUCAGCAUUGAUGGGGAGGCCAUUUAGGAGAGAGUGAAAUAACCUGCAAAGAGAAAGAAAUGACACCUAUAAAAAUAAUAUAGGAAGCAAUAAAACAACACUGCAAACAGUUUGGCAGGUGGAGAGGAAAGAAUCACCUUCAUAAAUCCAUCAUUCUAGAGUGAGCCUUGUGUUUGUGUGGCUGUGCUUAUGCACGGGAAUGGACACAGCUGCAAUCACCCUCCACAUACCCACACUCUGUAACCUACUUUCUCCACCUAACAUGAUGUCAUGAGCAUUUUUCUAUGUUGCUACAUAGUCUUUAUAAUUACUUAAAGUGACUGUAAAAUAUUCCAUUCACUGCUAUUGUUGAUAUUUAGAUUGCUUGUAUGAUUUUUCCUUUGUUCAUUUUUAUGAAUUGACGAAUAGUAGGUAUUUCACUCAGUGCCUUGAAAAACAUAUAUAUCUAGUAGGUGCUUUAUUUCAUUCCCAUCUCUCUCCUUCAUAUAUAUCUUUGUAUCUGGGCUUUUCCUUAGGAUAAAUUUCUUAGGAUAAAUAUUGAGUUCAAGCGUUUAAACAAUUGUAUGACUUUUUACAUGGUAUUUCACACACGUUGCUUUAUUAUGAUGAUAAUAACAAUGAUGAUAAUAUGAAUAACUCCACAAUUACACAUAGUAUUUCACAAAAUCCUCCCAACAUCUCUGAGGGUAGUCAUUACCCCAUUUUAGAUGAGAAGCAGAUGUCCACAAGUUUAAGUAAUUUGUCCAGCGGCUAUGUCUGUUCUGUUUUCGUCUUUCUCCCCAGGGUUAAGUACAAUGUCUGGCUCAUAGAAUGACUGCAGUAAAUGUUUCCUGAAUGAAGUCCACAAGUCGGGGUGUCAUGAUUCAAACCCAGAUCUGUUUCAGUUCAAAGCCUGUGCUCUUCCCCUUAAACCUUGCCAACUGGCUUUUGACGUUCAUUUGGGUGGGGGUAGAAAUGCAGGCGUUGCCAUACUGUUUAAUUAAGGACUCAGGCCUAGUGAAGCACUUCAGGUUUAGGGCAAACAUGCAAGAGCUAAUGAUGUGCGGUGGGUGGGAGUUUGGGACCCUAAUUAUCGUUACCCUAGAACUGUACCUGCUUGCCAUUUUCCUGAGAUCGCCCAUCCAGACCUAUUAUAUAAUUCUAAGAACAAUGCCAUUGGAGAGUGGUCCUAAGUGCUUGGUGGCCACAUUGAAUUCAGAGGGUUUGCUGUUGUCUUCUGGCUGUGUGACCUGAUUGUGCAUUUACAGAAAUGCUGUCCUCAUUGGAAUCAGUCUCUAAAACCCAACUGCAUGAGCUGAGGAGGUAGAGUAGCCCCCUGGACUAAACUUCCUUUGGCUCUAUCCUUCCUAUUUUCAGAGGAUGCUGAAAAGUGACCCAUCAUCCCAAAGAGCACCAGCCCCAAGAGUCUUGAGCAGUCAUUUUCUAAGGUCAUGUCCUCCUGGCACAAGGCAGAAACCAGUGUCCCAUUUCUUUUGCAUAGGAUGUAUGCAUCAAGGGUCAGAAUUGUUCUUCAGAAAUGCUUUAAACAAUAAGGUCUGUCCACUGAAGCUGCUUGGCCAGGCAGAGGGCAGGAGAGGUCAACAAUAGGGCUGGCCUCAGGGCCAUGAGGGAG
ensembl:lncRNA